rnacentral:misc_RNA from 1 species
GAGCUUACUAUACGGUCUUGGCUUCACGCCGAGGAGAACAAGCGCCGGACUCUUCAGAAAAACGAUAUCGCUGCAGCCAUUACCAGGACCGAUAUUUUUGAUUUCUUGGUGGAUAUUGUGCCCAGAGAUGAGAUCAAAGAUGAGGCUGGGCUGGGAGGGAUGGUUGGGGCCACGGCUAGCGGGGGACCUUAUUAUUAUCCGCCGAUGGGGCAUCCGGCUGGUGCCGGCCCUGGAGGAAUGAUGAUUGGGAGGCCCGCCGUGGAUCCUACUGGAGUUUAUGUCCAGCCACCUUCACAGGCGUGGCAGUCUGUGUGGCAGACGGCUGCGGCGGAGGAUGUUUCGUAUGGAAGCGGAGGCAGCAGUGGACAGGGAAACCUCGAUGGACAAGGUUAAGCAAGUGAGAUGGAGUGGUGUUCAGUGGUGCACCCGGAAGGCAAUGGGCCUCAGCUAAUACAUGGAUUUUUGCUUGCUUAUGAUCUUUAACGUACGUGUCUGCUAUUAUUUAUGGAAGCUGUCUUUAAUUUUAACGGUAUAACUAGAUAUUUAUUAACUUAAUUUUUAACGGCCAUACAAUCUCUGUCAUAACAUGCCUGAUUAUAACUAAUGUGCAGUUUCCUGAUUUGUGAUCCUUUUCUUGGUGAUUCUGUUUUGUCC